CAAAACCCUACUGCCACUGGAGCUGCAGAAGUACCACUUGCUGUCCUUGGGCUGGAGAAGAAACAAAGAGCCUGAAUGUUUUGCUGGCACCUCGAGCAUGACACAGUCACCAUAGACAGAGGAGCCCAGCCUCUCAGUCUCUCUUCCCUCAUUCUUCAUAAAAGUCAAGAUAUAGAAAUAACCUAAGUGUCUGCUGACCAAUAAAUGGAUAAAGAAAAUGUGUUAUAUAACAAUGGAAUAUUAUUCAGACAUACAAAGGUCAGAAGUUUAUUUGAUAUUCACAACAUGCAACUAAGGGUCCUUUAAGUCUGGAGCCAUGUCACAUUUCAG
rnacentral:lncRNA from 1 species